rnacentral:rRNA from 1 species
UACGGAGGGGGCUAGCGUUGUUCGGAAUUACUGGGCGUAAAGCGCACGUAGGCGGACCUACAAGUCGGGGGUGAAAUCCCGGGGCUCAACCCCGGAACGGCCUCCGAAACUGUCGGUCUGGAGGAUGAGAGAGGCGAGUGGAAUUCCGAGUGUAGAGGUGAAAUUCGUAGAUAUUCGGAGGAACACCAGUGGCGAAGGCGGCUCGCUGGCUCAUUUCUGACGCUGAGGUGCGAAAGCGUGGGGAGCAAACAGG